ACUUCCUCCACCUUUUACGGGUUCUACUACUGCCUACGUUUGGGGAAAAACGCGCAAGACAGUGUGAAUUCCAGGAAGAAAGUGAGCGUGUGUAAGGCUGAGUGUGUGCAUCCGUCUGUCUCAGCCUGUCCGGGCCCCGUGCAUGUGGUUGCAAGGUGCAAGACAGUCAGACACCUCAAACUUGCCAUGCCAGGAUAAGGCUUGUCCCUCCAGAGCUUACCUGUCCGCGCCCAAGUAACCGAAGAACCGCCCGCGCGGCCGCGUUCCAGGACACCUGGCCCGGACAGAGAGAGAGAACUGGGGCCACAGGGGCGUCCCUCCCGCGCAUCUCUUAUGUCUCCCUCCUUCCCUCCGGGGUGUCCGGAACCCCCCAAAGACAAACGGGACCGCCCGCACCUGCAGCGCCUUACCUCAAACAGGGGACCGAUCUUGUUCUUCUCCAGCUUUCUCAUCUGCAGUGGGAGUUUCAUCUGGCAACUGAAGACUUUGGAAAUUGCAGUGAUGUUGGAAACCGCUAAACCCGACACUACUAGCACCAAUAGGAUAAUUGACAAUUUCCAUUAGGAUCCUCAAGUGGUUUCUCUUUUGUUCCCCCCUCUUCUCUCUUCUUGAAUUCAGUUGGGACGUGUUGCAGUUUGCAGUGCUCUGAGCGAUUCCAUGCUCAGUGGAAAACCUAUCCUAAGGAUGCUUCCGGGAGACAAGUCUUGAUGACCCUCCUGACUUAUAUGCUGAAAACCUAAGGUAGCAAAAUCACACUCAUCUUUCAAUGUGCAGCCAAGUUCGUGACCAACUCAGAAGACUUUCUAUUCAAAUCAGUCAGCAGUGAUUGCUCCGUCUGCUGUAUCCUGAGAGAUGGAUAGCCCUUUGGAGCAGGAACAGCAUGAAUAGGCAUAAAUAUAUUGAGUUUGGUGGAAACCUGCUUUUGCUGCUACCUGUUCUGCUGAAAUACUGAGAGGAGAAAAUAGAAGAAAUUCUGUUAUUGAUGGAUGGCCAAAUUUCUAACAUGGGAAUGGCUGAGUCUGGAAAUAUCUAAUAAUCAGGAAGCUAGCAACUAGCUGAUUUUAGAUGAAAGUUUUGACUACGAAGACUUAAAAGACUGGAUUUCCUAAAAACACCCCUGAUACAAAACAAGUAAGGAUAAAGGUUAUUUUCCCUGAAGCUGACAGGGAAAUGAAACUAUCAUGGAAAAAGGAAAAGGGAUGUAUUAGAGGAAAGUAACAUAUAUUAAAUACUACUAUGUGCUAGGAGUUGUUUUAAGCAUUUUACAUCAUCUCAUUUAAUUUACACAUCCAUACUGUAAAAGAGGUUGACUUGGCCAAAGUAUCUGGUUAGCUGGUGUUUGUACACAAUCCUUGUCAUAUGUACGUAUGUAUGUUGUUUGUUUUUUCCACUAUUCCACAUGAAGAUUUCUUAGAGAAACCUGGAGAAAACAGACAAUUUUCCUGGAGAACCCACAAGUACAGACAAUGUGGGAACUGUUGUAGUGAUGGGCAAGGCUUUUGCUCUGUGUCUGUUUCUGACCAAGCAGAACCGUGUCUUGGUCCAUUUGGGCUGCUACAACGAAUUACCAGAGCCUGGGUGGCUUAUAAGCAACAGAAACUUAUUUCUUACAGUUCUAGAGGUUGAGGCUCCAAGAUAAAGCAGCCAACAGAUUCGCUGUCUGGUGAGAGCCUGAUUCCUGGUGCAGAUAGCCAGCUUCUUGCUGUACCCUACAAGGGGAGAGGGAGCUCUCUGGGGCCUCUUUUAUUAGGGCAAUAAUCCCAUUCAUGAAGGCUCCACCCUCAUGACCUAAUUAUAUGGGUUUCACCCACAUCACUAGGCUUCACCCCACAGACCCCACCUUCAAAUACCAUCACACUGGGGAUUAAGUUUCAACACAUGAAUUUUGGGAGGACACAAACAUUCCGUCUAUAGCAAACCGCCAUAACACAAGCCCAUGUGCUGGCUAGAGAAGAAAAAGUUGAGAGAAUUUCACAAGUUAAAAGCUUAGUAUUUAUUAAAAUAGUAACAAGUUUUUCCUAUUGCUUUAUAAUCCCAACACUAUGAUUAAGCUAGUGUAAGCAUAAAACAAAAUUUAAUUCUCAUAAUAAAUAUAAAGUUCUGGAAUUAAAAGUUAUUAUAUGAAAUACUAAGCAAGACUAUGCAGAAGAUUUAUAGCUUUAUUUGAGGUGAUUAUAACUCCAAAGGCUUAAAAUUUUUAUAUGAAAUAAUGGCUUAGGAUAAAUGGGCACUGAGCAAAUUUUAGAAGUGCAAGGCUAUAAGGGACUGCAGUAGGUUAUUAAAUUCAUCUUCCUGUCUUGGGAAAGAACUUUAUCUAAAUGCAUCUCAAUAAACUUCUUCUCUGAGCUCUUCAAAAUCUCAGAAAGAGAGAGAAAGAAAAAAAGGCCAUUUCUUCACCUAGCAAAAUAUUGGAUAUACUUGAUAAAGACAGAAAUGGGAAUUUUUUUUUUUAUCAUUUGGAGAAUUGACUUUGGGGGGAUAUUUUCAUUCCCCACGAUGUUUUCUUGUUUGGUAUGUAUAUUUUGCAUUUUACAAUCCUCUGCUACUUGGUUAAACCAUAUAAAGUUGUACAGACCGUGGAAACCGCAGCUGAAAGAGCUUGCUUAUUCACUCUGCGGAGCAGUUAGCCCUUGCUGGCUCUACACAGCCCACCUCACGCAGAAGCCCGAAGGGAAGACACUGCCCCAUGUUGCCCUGUGCAGUGCCAGAGCCAGUCAGGUCACAUAUGCAGAGUCAGGAGGUUGCAAGUACCCCUGGUGCCUUAAGGCCUGUCUUCAACGUGGCUCAACUGGGUCCUAGAACCAGCAGGAAAGCCAAACUCUAGCCUUCACGCCUAAUCGCUUCUGAUUUGCUAAAUGUAGGAUUUAUGAGUUUCCUAGGGCUGUCAUACAAAUGACCACAAACCUGGUAGCUUGAAACCACCGGAACAUACUCUCUCACAGAUCUGGAGGACGGAAGUCUGAAAUCACGGCAUUGGCAGGGACGGGCUUCCUCCAAAGGUUCUAGGGAAAAUCCUUCCUCGUUGCUUCUCCAAGAGUCGCCGUGGCUGUGGCUGCAUAACUCCAGUCUCUGCCUUGUUUUCACGUGGCUUUCUCCUCUGUGUCUCAAAUCUCCCUCUGUAUCUUAUAAGGAAUCUGUCACUGGAUUUAGGAUCCACUCACAUAAUUCAGGAUGAUCUCAUCUCAAGAUUCUAAACUUAAUUACAUUUUCAAAGAUCCUUUUUAUAACUAAGGUUACAUUUACAAGUUCCGGAGGCUAGUUCAUGGGCAUAUCUUCUGUGGGCCACUAUUCCACGCACUCUAAGGAUUUUGUUUCACUUUUGAUUUCUUAUGCUUAGGCUCUGUUUCUUCUACCUGUAGCAGCUGGAUGAUACUUCUAGAACCUCAUCACUGAUACUACGCAUCCCCACCACAAGUCUUCCUCCACCUAGAAGCUCUACUUCCAUGCCCCAUCCAUCCAACAGCCCUGCAAAGGCCUUGGAAGCAGAGUGUCUGGAUUCAGAUACAUAGUUCACCACUUCCUUCCUUCCAUCAUCCAUUCAUUCAUUCACAAAUAUUUACACCUACUCAUUGCCAGGUAUUAUCCUAGGCAUUAGAGAUAGAACAUUAUAGGAAGAGACAAAGCCUGCCUUCUUGGAGGUAAUAUUUGUGGACAGGGGGAGACAGGCAAUAAACAAACAGAGGACAUAAUAUAAUGCCAGGUACUGACAAGUGCUCUGAAGAACAAUAAAGCAAAGUGAAAUCACAGACGUGAGGCCGGGGAGGCACAGUUUUACAUGCGGUUGUCAGGGGAGGCUUCUCCUUGGAGGUGACAUUCGGCAGAGACUUGAGCAAAGUGUCAGACUGAACCAGGAGAAUAUGUGAGGAGACGCCUUCCUGGAAGGGGAACUAGCAAUGAAGGCGUGAGGCAAGAAGGACCUUGGUCAGUGUGAUGUGUUUGAAAACAGGCAAGAAGGCCAGUUAUUAUACCCGCACUCACAGCAGCGUAUUUGCAGGAGUCACAUGGCGGCAGCGACCUAAGUGUCCAUCCACAGAGGAAUAAACAAGCAAAAUGUGGCACAUACACUGCAGGGAGGUGGAGAUAUUGAUUAAUAGCCUCCAAACUGAGAAGGAACUUUGAGAGCAAAAAAUGAAAUAGGCAACUCCAUAAAGUGCAAUUAUGAAGUGCAUUGGGGGAACUUAGGAUAAUCCAGGGGCUUUCUCAGCUGUACUCUGCACCACCCAAAGGGCUGCAGGGGAUUUAAAGAGGCCAAUGGAAUCUGACUACCAAGUGAGACGCACAUCUGCACUGACUGGAAAUGGGAGUGUUUUCUCCUCCGGGGGUGGGGGGGUCUCAUUGACCCUUAAACACCUGUGUCAGCAAAAGGCAUUCUUCCAGUUUUCAUAUCACAUGUAGGCAAGGGGAAAAGUUGAUAGGAAACUUGUCUGGCUUGGGUGCAUUCCUUGUGAGCAGUCUAACACUCAAGUCAUGCAGAGAAGGGAGGGGGUGGCACUAUGGGCCUAAGAUGAAGCUGACCAAAGGGAAUCAGUGUGGUUCAGCCACACAUACAUACAGUGGAAUAUUAUUCAGCUGUAAAAACAAAGGAAAUUCUAUCACAUGCUACAUCUUAAAGACAUUGGACUAAGUGAAAUAGACCAGUCACAAAAAGACAAAUACCGUAUGAUUCCACUUGUAUGAGGUACCUGGAGUAGUCAAAUUGUGAGAGACAGACAGUAGAAAAAUGGUUGCCAGGGACUGGGGGAGGGGGAGGGGAGUUAGUGUUUAAGGGGGAUGGCAUUUCAGUUUUACAAGCUUAAAAACAGU